AUUGAACGCUGGCGGCAUGCUUUACACAUGCAAGUCGAACGGUAACAGGGUGCUUGCACCGCUGACGAGUGGCGAACGGGUGAGUAAUGCGUCGGAACGCGCCGAGUAGUGGGGGAUAACGCAGCGAAAGUUGUGCUAAUACCGCAUACGUACUGAGGUAGAAAGUGGGGGACCUUCGGGCCUCACGCUAUUCGAGCGGCCGACGUCUGAUUAGCUAGUAGGUGAGGUAAAGGCUCACCUAGGCGACGAUCAGUAGCGGGUCUGAGAGGAUGAUCCGCCACACUGGGACGGAGCCACGGCCCAGACUCCUACGGGAGGCAGCAGUGGGGAAUUUUGGACAAUGGGCGAAAGCCUGAUCCAGCCAUGCCGCGUGUCUGAAGAAGGCCUUCGGGUUGUAAAGGACUUUUGUCGGGGAGGAAAUCCCCAGCGUUAAUACCGCUGGGGGAUGACAGUACCUGAAGAAUAAGCACCGGCUAACUACGUGCCAGCCGCCGCGGUAACAC
rnacentral:rRNA from 1 species